UCAUGAGCAUUUGCGACAAGUACUUAAAGUAUUAGGUUUCAAGUACAUGAAAUGCCAGUCCCACUGAGCUCAUCUGGGGUAUCGCAAAACGUAAAAUUGCUGCCGAAAACGCAGGGUCGAUUGAUAUAAAGGAAGCACAGAACGUCCUUUCGAAGGUUUAACAGAAAGCGACUGGAGAAAAUCUUGCGAGCAUGUGGUGGAGAUAGAGAAGUCUUAUUAUCAGCGAGAAUUAACUCUUUACCACGACAUAGAGCAAGUAGUAAUUAAUUUAGAGGAUAGCAGCAGCACUACCUUUGAUUCUGAGUUCGAGGAAGAAAAGCGCCGGCUGUAGCCAUGAAAACAUGGGAGUCGAGGGAGUAGAAUACCUAGAUGAAGAAUUUCUUUUAUGAAAUAAAUUAUUAUAAUUUGUG